rnacentral:rRNA from 1 species
ACUCAAAUGAAUUGACGGGGGCCCGCACAAGCGGUGGAGCAUGUUGUUUAAUACGUCACUAACCGUAGAACCUUACCAGGGCUUGACAUCUGGCGCACUGCCGUGAAAGCGGCCUUCCCCGCAAGGGGACGCCAAGACAGGUGUUGCAUGGCUGUCGUCAGCUCGUGUCGUGAGAUGUUGGGUUAAGUCCCGCAACGAGCGCAACCCUCACGCGAUGUUGCCAGCGGGUAAAGCCGGGAACUCUUCGCGAACUGCCGGGGUAACUCGGAGGAAGGCGGGGACGACGUCAAGUCAGCAUGGCCCUUACGCCCUGGGCUACAAACAUGCUACAAUGGGCGGCAGACAGAGGGAACCGAGGUCGCGAGACGGAGGCAAUCCCACAAAUCCGCCCCCAGUUCGGAUUGCAGGCUGCAACUCGCCUGCAUGAAGUCGGAAUCGCUAGUAACCGCAGGUCAGCGAAACUGCGGUGAAUACGUUCCCGGGCCUUGUACACACCGCCCGU